GUUCAGCUUAACUGAACGGCGUGCAGAAGACACUGCUUGACUAGGGACCGGGAGGCGUGAGAGGUAUUCGUAGGGUAGCGGUAAAAUGCGAUAAUCCUACGAGGACCACCUGUGGCGAAGGCGUCUCACGAGAACGGCUCCGACGGUGAGGGAUGAAGGCCAGGGGAGCGAAUGGGAUUAGAUACCCCAGUAGUCCUGGCAGUAAACCCUGCGAGCUAGGUGUCGCGUAUCCUCCGAGGGUACGCGGUGUCGUAGAGAAGUCGUUAAGCUCGCCGCCUGGGAAGUACGGUCGCAAGGCUGAAACUUAAAGGAAUUGGCGGGGGAGCACUACAAGGGGUGCGGCGUGCGGUUUAAUUGGAUUCAACGCCGAAAAUCUCACCAGGGGAGACGGCAGAAUGAAGGUCAGUCUAAAGGGCUUACCUGACGAGCCGAGAGGUGGUGCAUGGCCGUCGUCAGCUCGUGCCGUGAGGUGUCCUGUUAAGUCAGGCAACGAGCGAGACCUGCGCCUACACUUGCCAGCGAGCAGCUUGCUGUGAUCGGGCACUGUGUAGGGACUGCCUGGGAAACCAGGAGGAAGGUGCAGGCAACGGUAGGUCUGUAUGCCCCGAAUCCACUGGGCUACACGCGCGCAACAAUGGACGAGACAAUGGGCUGCAACACCGAAAGGUGAAGCUAAUCCUCGAAACUCGUCCCCAGUACGGGUUGAGGCUUGUAACUCAGCCUCAUGACGCCGGAAUCCCUAGUAAUCGGAGUCAUC
rnacentral:rRNA from 1 species